rnacentral:rRNA from 1 species
GACGAACGCUGGCGGCGUGCUUAACACAUGCAAGUCGAACGGAAAGGCCCUGCUUUUGUGGGGUGCUCGAGUGGCGAACGGGUGAGUAACACGUGAGUAACCUGCCCUUGACUUUGGGAUAACUUCAGGAAACUGGGGCUAAUACCGGAUAGGAGCUCCUGCUGCAUGGUGGGGGUUGGAAAGUUUCGGCGGUUGGGGCUGGACUCGCGGCUUAUCAGCUUGUUGGUGGGGUAGUGGCUUACCAAGGCUUUGACGGGUAGCCGGCCUGAGAGGGUGACCGGCCACCUUGGGACUGCGAUACGGCCCAGACUCCUACCGGAGGCAGCAGUGGGGAAUAUUGCACAAUGGGCGGAAGCCUGAUGCAGCAACGCCGCGAGCGGGAAGACGGCCUUCGGGUUGUAAACCGCUUUGGCCGGUGACGAAGAGUGAGUGACGGUAAUGGGUAAAGAAGCACCGGCUAACUACGUG